GCAUAAACAAAAAUUCUCAUGUGUAGCUUAUCUUACUGUGGGGAACUGCAUGACUAUACAAACUUUGACUGAAUGUUGAUUGUAAAGUAUUACAUCUUCCCUGGUGUGACGGUUCCUUAUAGAUCAUCUUGUCAACAGGUUUCAGAAACUGACUUUAAACAGAAUUCCCAAAUUGCGUGUGUACUCAGUUACAAAUUUUAAAUAUAUGUAGGUGUGUGUGUCUGUCUUGCUGUCACAGCAAAGAAGGAAAUCCUGAACUUUUGCUUAUUUACAAAUUUGUACCAGUUUUGCUAAAGCGGUUCUUUCAAACUGGAAUUUAUUUUAUUCAUGAAGACACUCUCUGAUUAACUUGUUUUUUCAACACUUGAGCUGUCAAGCAAGUAGUUUCCUCACCACUGAUCUAGCAUUUGAACUCUCACUGACAACAUGAUUUUGGUUCUGUUCAGUACUGCAGAGUCUUUUUCCAAGUCAGCAUGGGCACAUCCAUAGGUGUAGCUGUAAUAAGCAAUUGUGGCUCUUUCCCUCUUAACACUCCCUUGAAUAUUGAUGGGUAUGACACCUCUUAAGUUACUUCCCAAGCACUAAAUUUCACUUCCCAUUCAGACUUGGAGAAUGUAGCUGUUUAAAAGCUUUGCUGCAGAACUUUUUGUUGACCUUCCUCUCUCUUAUGGCAGUUCUUAGGUGAAUAUGAACCUUGAAUAUCCUGGGUAAAAAUUCUCCUUGAUUUUAGGAGCCAAGAUUCCCCAUCUCUGUGGUGUAACUCCCUUUAUGAAUUUAUUGCACUGACUGGGUUGGAUUCCUAGGUGGAGAAAGAUGGAGUUCACAUUUGGAAUCUGGAAAUGCCACAGAAACUAAAAUUGCUUGGUUUGAUCUGAUAGAGCUGUGACUUUCUAAUGAAAUUGCAGUAGUGCAGCAAGGCUGGAAAUUGUAUGUGUCUCAUAUACAUGCAUGUUAUAAAAGAUGGCUAUAAACCAGUCUAACCAUCAGUUAAGUAGUACCAGGCUUACUGAUUAUGAUGAAGGAUUUUAGCUAGUCCUGAUCAUAGAGUUUUCUCUAUUUAAGACAAAAGAAAACCAUUUUUUAUUGUGCUUCAUUCUUCAGCUGCAGUUCUCUUACAGAAUAUACUGUGCUGGAUAAAGUUACACCUAUGGAAAUGCCGAGAUCUUUGUGUAUGUUUGUUUCAAAGAGAAGGUCCAUGAGGGCCCCCCAGUAACUGUACUGCAUUUUACUUGUCUCCUGGCUCAUUACUGUUCCCACUUGAAGUUGCUGGUUUCAGUAGGAGCAGCAUAAGCCUUGGAACCACUUGGUGCAAUGUUGCUGGGGUGUAUUUCCAGGUUGGCAGGGUCAGGCCUCCCAGUGAGGAAUCCUGAUCCCCCUUAAUAUCACAGCACAGAAACCAGAGAACAUGCAUUUUAUUCCUCUUGUGCUACUUCUGGGCAGACUGUCAGAACUUGCCCUGCCUUUCAGGGGAAGGGUCUGGUUUUCACUUGGUAUGGAAGAAACUCAUAUUGCAGAGGAAGAUGUUGGUCAAUAAUGUUGUGACAGUGCUGUUGUUGCAGUCCUCUUCAAGCCACACUCCGCUUGAGAAGUUGCUAAGCAGGAAGUGUCCCACAAACUAUUAUCACUUUUUACAUACAGAAUAUUGUUUAGUAACAUUGUAAAUAAUAUAGACUAUAUAAUAGAGGAAAAUAAGGACAUUUUGACUUUUUUACUUUUGGAAAAAUAUAUAUAUAUUUUAGUUACAUAUACAAACAAAAAUUCUACAUUGUGUGAGAAUUCUUUUAUACCACAAAUUAUUUUUGUAAUGUCUGAUAUGUUUCUGCAGGGAAAAGGGAGAAAGGUCUGUGUACGCACAGCAAAUAUAUAUAUAUAAUGUUUAAAUUAAGUGUGCACUACAUCAAAGUCUAGAGGAUAGAACAAGUUUAGCCUGAAAGGAGUUUGAGGCGAAAGUUUGGAUGUACUUGGACAUGCUUUGAGGGCGACACUGAGUAUAUGUUUAGGUUAUCUUGCAUGUCACAUCCUUUCUGCUAAAGAUGCUUAUUGCUUUUCUAUGACCAUCUUCAGUUUAACCAGGAAGAGCUUUUUCAUGUAUUCAUGCGAGUAUCCAUGGGUGAGCAGUGUGCCUUUUGGCAUAUGCCGUGAUGCUGCAGUGAGUUGUGAAGUCAGGGUGUUAAGAAUUUACCAAGACCAAAUAGCCGGGCUGAUCUCACUUGCUGCCGUAUCCAUUUAUAGCAGCUGCAUCUGCUGCAUUGACAAUAUGAUCUGUAAGGAGCUGUUGCCAGUAGAGUCCUGAUAAAACCAAUUCCUAGAAGUUCCUUCUCUCUGAAGUGACAGAACUAAUCAGGCCUCACCAGAACAUGUAGAUACAUGUUCUGUGUUCCCAGUGUCGGAUUUCACAGUCUGGGUUAGAGGCACUAAAGAAAAGGAGCACUGUCAUGUCCAAAGUCCUACUUUGGAAAAAAGCGUUCCAAAUUUGUGUACCCAAUCCAAGGUAUUCUAAAAGUAUGAAAGAAAAAACUUUACAAUGUAUUCUUUUCACUUAAGCUAACUUUUCCCAUUGGACCUAAAAUUCACUCCAGUCUUUUUGCUGCCCUUAAUCUAGACAGCACAGUGCCAGUGGGGUAAGAGUUACGGAAAAAAGCUUUAAACCAAACAAUGCACCACAAUCCAUUGAAGCUGGUUUGACAGUGUGCCUUUUGAAAUUAGUGCUUAGGUGACCUCAGGCAGGCUCCUGUAAUUGCCGAGACCUGCAUCCAUGUUCUCAGUGAAAUCCUAGCCUUGUGGAAGCCAAGGGGAGCGCUGCCAUCCAAUUCUGUGGGACCAUGAGUGCGUGUGUGUUCCUGGAGCACUUUCUUAAACACACCUGGUCCUUUACUUACAUGGGACUUCUCUUUCAAAACUCUAGUUUUAGGGUGAUGCUCAGUUCCCUGACUGAAGCAGUAACCUCUAGAGUAAGCAGUAAUCCUUUUUGUCAGGACACUUCCACAGAAAGAGGUGAUGCUUGUGUUACGUCCACGCAGCUGUUCUGAAAUGUAAUGCUAUUCUGUUGUGCCUUUAUUUUUCCAUGUAAAAGCAACUGCUGUAAGCUUUCUCUUUUUUUCACCUUUUACUAGUUUUUCUGUCUGAAAAAACACUUUUCAUUGCCCAGC
rnacentral:lncRNA from 1 species